rnacentral:lncRNA from 1 species
AAAGUUUUAAGACAAUAGUGGAAAUAUUUAAAAUUACAAGGACCACAUGUGAAAAUUAAGGAAACUUAAUUUCAAGGUUCAACAAUGGCGACCCAAUCUCGGAUGCGGUGGCAGCUUCCCUUUACGGUCCACCGGAGGCACGAAGAGAGGCUGAAAUCACCAUAAAGACCUCUUGGGACACCAUGGAAGAGAGGCUGAGGGCACGACGUUGAGGUUUCCCAUCGGACUUGAGAUACUGCAGAAGAGAAGAACUUUGUAGAAGAAAGGAGAUGGUUGUGGAGCUCGUCGUACCUGUGAAUUGCGGUGGAAAACUUGUCAACUUAGAUCAAUCAUGAUAUCUAUGGUCAUCUGUGACGGUAAAUCAGUCACUAUGAACUGAAUUUGUGGCUCAAUCUGGAAUUAGUAAAG